AUAUAACGCCCCCUUUAUUGGAUGUCAGAAUCACCAUUGAGGAAAUCGUUUGACAGUGUCUUUAAAAGUGUGCUAGAUGAGAGGUGGGAGAGCUCAAGUUUUGGUUCUGAGUUUGCACCUUCCUAAAACUGGAGGUUACAAACCACAGUUUGUGGAGUAGGUUGGGCCUUGAUAUCUUAGGCAAAUGUAUGCAUUAGUUUUCCAAAUUAAGAAGCCAAGUCGGUGAAUCAGAUGUGAUAAAUAUUUCAUAUAUGAUGUAGAACAAUCUUUUUCUUUAUAAACAGUAUAAUAAUGUUGAUUUUCCUUUGGUCCUGUGUUCUUUGACAUGUCUUCAAGAAUGUUAAGAUAGAACAAAAUUCCAUUUUGUGGGAGACUAUCCACACAGUCACAAUGUGGGCUGGACUUAUCUAAUGAUCUGGAGCUCUGAGGAAUACUUCUAUGAUUAUGUGAAGAAGCCUGGGCUAGCCUGCUGAAGGAUGAAGGACCAUGUAGAAAGCAGCCUCAGCUAUUCCAGUUGAGUCACCAGACGUGUGAAUGAGAUGAUCCUAUACAUCAGCCUCAGCUUAGUUGCCUUUGCCAGAAUUUCUCAACCAAACCUAAGUAUUAUGAAAAGUAAUAAUUAUUUGUUAAAUUUGGCCAAUACAUAGUACAUCUUGGGGUGGAUUGUUACCAGUUAGCCAACACUAAGUGGUAUACCAUGUCAUGCUAUACUUAUUUCUUUUCCUUAGGAAAUUGACAAAGUGUUUUACUGAUGUUAACUUGGAAUGCAUUUAAAGACAAAAAAAGGAAAACCUUAAUCCAACAUUGACAUUUCAUUCCUGCAUCUUUAAUGGUUUGAUCAGAAUAAUCAGUGACUCAUAAUUAUAAUGGAUGCAUAAGUGGGCACAUUUUGAUAUUAAAAAAGUGAGGUAAUAUACACAUUACUAAAUAUGAUAAUGCUAGUGAUUUUCCUACUCAACUUAUGUUUAAGGACAUGUCACCAAUAGUGGUAUUCAACUUCAUUUGAAAUUCAAAACAUUAAAGUUAAUUUUUAAACAUUUUUAUUGAGUUGAAGCUAGAGAGUUGAAGAAAAAAUAAGAAAAUUAAGAUUUCACUUCAUAUACAUGUAAUGGAUGUAUUUUGUGGUAAUGCAGUUUUAGUGUUUAGACCACUAUGAAACUAGUAAGAUAGUGGUUUUAAGUGUUGAUCUAGUUAUUUUGAACCUAUAGCUUUGAAAAUGCAUGAAGCUCAUUUUAACAUAAAAUAUAUGGUUUUAAGAUGAAUUCUUCCUCAUAUUGCAUUCUUUCCUCCCUCUACCAGUUUCCUCUCUAUAGGUAUUUGUAUAUAUAUUGACUCUUAGACAAAUUGAGUAGAUAUUAUAUCUGAGUCAACAAAUGUGUAUAUAGACACAUGAACACUAAGAAAGGGCAUUAACAUUUCUAAAAUACGUCAGAUGUACUGACAUAA
rnacentral:lncRNA from 10 species